GAUGAACGCUGGCGGCGUGCUUAACACAUGCAAGUCGAACGGAAAGGCCCAAGCUUGCUUGGGUACUCGAGUGGCGAACGGGUGAGUAACACGUGGGUGAUCUGCCCUGCACUUCGGGAUAAGCCUGGGAAACUGGGUCUAAUACCGGAUAGGACCACAUUUUGGAUGGUGUGGUGGAAAGUUUUUCGGUGUGGGAUGAGCUCGCGGCCUAUCAGCUUGUUGGUGGGGUAAUGGCCUACCAAGGCGUCGACGGGUAGCCGGCCUGAGAGGGUGUACGGCCACAUUGGGACUGAGAUACGGCCCAGACUCCUACGGGAGGCAGCAGUGGGGAAGAUUGCACAAUGGGCGCAAGCCUGAUGCGGCGACGCCGCGUGGGGGAUGACGGCCUUCGGGUUGUAAACUCCUUUCGCUAGGGACGAAGCGUUAUGUGACGGUACCUGGAGAAGAAGCACCGGCUAACUACGUG
rnacentral:rRNA from 1 species